CGGACGGGUGAGUAACACGUAGGUGACCUGCCCCGAGGCAGGCGAUAACGGCUCGAAAGGGCCGCUAAUACCCAAAAGGAUCGCCGCAUCAGAGUUACGUCUCGGGAGGGGCCUGCGGCCCAUCAGCUAGUUGGUAGGGUAAUGGCCUACCAAGGCGACGACGGGUAGGGGGCCUAAGAGGGUGAUCCCCCACAUUGGCACUGACACACGGGCCAAACUCCUACGGGAGGCAGCAGUGAGGAAUAUUGCGCAAUGAGCGAAAGCUAGACGCAGCAACGCCGCGUGGACGAUGAAGGCCUUCGGGUCGUAAAGUCCUUUUCAGAGGGACGAGGGACGGUACCUCUGGAAUAAGUCACGGCUAACUACGUGCCAGCAGCCGCGGUAAAACGUAGGUGGCGAGCGUUAUCCGGAUUCACUGGGCGUAAAGCGCCUGCAGGCGGUCUCGUAAG
rnacentral:rRNA from 1 species